GUGGAUGAAAUCUACACAGUACCAGAGGUGGGGACUGUUGUUGGAGGAACACUUUCCAGAUUAGGCUUUCACUAUCAGAAGAGCUGGAGAACGGUAGUCUGUUGGCUUUGGAGGGAAGAAACAGUAUUGCUGCCUAUUGGGGAAUCUCCAGGCCCCUGAGAGAGAAGUGUGGGUCUUGGGCUCCAGGAAGAAAACUAGAGUGUAUUCAACUGACUUCAUCUCACACAGGGAAAUGAGAGACGUCACUUAAGACUCUUCUUUCUUUCUUUCUUUCUUUCUUUUUUUUGAGACAGAGUCUCGCUCUGUCGCCCAGGCUGGAUUGCAGUGGAGCGAUCUUGGCUCACUGCAACCUCUGCCUCCUGGGUUCCAGCAAUUCUCCUGCCUCAGCCUUGAGUAGCUGGAAUUACAGGCGCCUACCACCAUGCCCGGCUAAUUUUUGUAUUUUUAGUAGAGACGGGGUCGUCACCAUGUUGGCCAGGCUGGUCUUGAAUUCCUGACCUCAAGUGAUCCACCUGCCUCAGCCUCCCCAAGUGCUAGGAUUACAGGUGUGAGCCAACGCGGCUGGCCUAAGCCUCUGCAAAGCAGAGAAUGAAACCCAAGGGGAUAACUUGCUCCUUCAGCGGUUAGGUGUUCGGUGUUGUUAAACCAGCAAGUGUCUCUCUGUCCACCAUCACUGCUGGCCUUUUCUGAAAUUAGUCUUCUGAUUCUGAACUCUGGCAGUGAGC
rnacentral:sRNA from 1 species